rnacentral:rRNA from 1 species
CCUACGGGGGGCAGCAGUGGGGAAUAUUGGACAAUGGGGGGAACCCUGAUCCAGCCAUGCCGCGUGUGUGAAGAAGGCCCUCGGGUUGUAAAGCACUUUCAGUGAGGAAGAACGCCUGGUGGUUAAUACCCAUCAGGAAAGACAUCACUCACAGAAGAAGCACCGGCUAACUCCGUGCCAGCAGCCGCGGUAAUACGGAGGGUGCGAGCGUUAAUCGGAAUUACUGGGCGUAAAGCGCGCGUAGGUGGCUUGAUAAGCCGGUUGUGAAAGCCCCGGGCUCAACCUGGGAACGGCAUCCGGAACUGUCAAGCUAGAGUGCAGGAGAGGAAGGUAGAAUUCCCGGUGUAGCGGUGAAAUGCGUAGUGAUCGGGAGGAAUACCAGUGGCGAAGGCGGCCUUCUGGACUGACACUGACACUGAGGUGCGAAAGCGUGGGUAGCAAACAGGAUUAGAUACCCUAGUAGUC